GACGAACGCUGGCGGCGUGCUUAACACAUGCAAGUCGAACGCUGAAGCUCAGCUUGCUGGGUGGAUUAGUGGCGAACGGGUGAGUAACACGUGAGUAACCUGCCCUCUUCUUUGGGAUAACGCCCGGAAACGGGUGCUAAUACUGGAUAUUCACUGAUUCUCGCAUGGGGGUUGGUGGAAAGGUUUUUUCUGGUGGGGGAUGGGCUCGCGGCCUAUCAGCUUGUUGGUGGGGUGAUGGCCUACCAAGGCUUUGACGGGUAGCCGGCCUGAGAGGGUGACCGGUCACAUUGGGACUGAGAUACGGCCCAGACUCCUACGGGAGGCAGCAGUGGGGAAUAUUGCACAAUGGGCGAAAGCCUGAUGCAGCGACGCCGCGUGAGGGAUGGAGGCCUUCGGGUUGUAAACCUCUUUCGCUCAUGGUCAAGCCGCAGCUUUGGGUUGUGGUGAGGGUAGUGGGUAAAGAAGCGCCGGCUAACUACGUG
rnacentral:rRNA from 1 species